CGGACGGGUGAGUAAUGUAUGGGGAUCUGCCCGAUGGAGGGGGAUAACUACUGGAAACGGUAGCUAAUACCGCAUAACGUCGCAAGACCAAAGAGGGGGACCUUCGGGCCUCUUGCCAUCGGAUGUGCCCAGAUGGGAUUAGCUAGUAGGUGGGGUAACGGCUCACCUAGGCGACGAUCCCUAGCUGGUCUGAGAGGAUGAUCAGCCACACUGGGACUGAGACACGGCCCAG
rnacentral:rRNA from 1 species